rnacentral:lncRNA from 1 species
CUGAUGUGGCCGUGGGGCUGUUCGCCUUCCCCUUUGCCAUCAUCAUCAGCCUGGGUUCUGCACUGACUUCCACAGCCACCUCUUUCUUGCCUGCUUCAUGCUUGUGCUCACACAGAGCUCCAUCUUCAGCCUCCUGUCCAUGGCCAUCAACAGGUACCUGGCCAGCCACAGUCGGCUCAGGCAUAAAAGUUUAGUCACUGGGACCCAAACAAGAGGGGUUACUGCUGUCCUCUGGGUCCUUGCCUUUGGCACUGGACUGACCCCAUUCCUGGAGUGGAACAGUAAAGACAGUACCUCUAAUAACUGCAUGGAGCCCUGGGAUGGAACCAUGAAUGAAAGCUGCUGCCUUGUGAAGUGUCUCUUUCAGAAUGCGGUACCCAUGAGUUACAUGGUAUAUUUCAGUUUUGGGGGGUAAGUCCUGCCCCCACUGCUCGUAAUGUGGCUGAUCUCCAUCAAGUUCUUCACAGUGACUGCAGGCAGCUUUAGUACACGGAGCUGAUGGACCACUCAAGGACCACCCUCCAGUGGGAGAUAUACACAGCCAAGUCGCUGGCUGUGAUGGUGGGGAUGUUUGCUCUGUGCUCGCUACCAGUGCGCACCAUGGACUGUGUCACUCUUUUUCAGCUAGCUCAGGCUAAAGAUAAGCCCAAGUGGGCAAGGAAGAUGACCAUUCUCUUGUCACAUGCAAAUUUGAUUGUCAAUCCCAUUGUCUAUAACCACUGGAACAGAGAAUCCUGCUAUACUUUUCAUAAAAUUAUUUACAGGUAUGUUCACUGCUGGAUUGAACUCAAUAAUGGGAAUGAGCAGGUCAGGGCACAGCCUGUUCUCAGUGUGGCCUGUGA